rnacentral:rRNA from 1 species
AUUGAACGCUGGCGGCAGGCCUAACACAUGCAAGUCGAGCGGAUGAAGGGAGCUUGCUCCUGGAUUCAGCGGCGGACGGGUGAGUAAUGCCUAGGAAUCUGCCUGGUAGUGGGGGAUAACGUCCGGAAACGGGCGCUAAUACCGCAUACGCCCUGAGGGAGAAAGUGGGGGAUCUUCGGACCUCCCGCUAUCAGAUGAGCCUAGGUCGGAUUAGCUAGUUGGUGGGGUAAAGGCCUACCAAGGCGACGAUCCGUAACUGGUCUGAGAGGAUGAUCAGUCACACUGGAACUGAGACACGGUCCAGACUCCUACGGGAGGCAGCAGUGGGGAAUAUUGGACAAUGGGCGAAAGCCUGAUCCAGCCAUGCCGCGUGGGUGAAGAAGGUCUUCGGAUUGUAAAGCACUUUAAGUGGGGAGGAAGGGCAGUAAGUUAAUACCUUGCUGUUUUGACGUUACCAACAGAAUAAGCACCGGCUAACUUCGUG